UACGGGGGGGGCAAGCGUUGUUCGGAAUUACUGGGCGUAAAGGGCGCGUAGGCGGCCUUCUAAGUCGGACGUGAAAUCCCUCGGCUUAACCGAGGAACUGCGUCCGAUACUGAAAGGCUUGAAUCCGGGAGAGGGAUGUGGAAUUCCAGGUGUAGCGGUGAAAUGCGCAGAUAUCAGGAAGAACACCCGUGGCGAAGGCGGCUCUCUGGGACGGUACUGACGCUGAGACGCGAAAGCGUGGGGAGCGAACAGG
rnacentral:rRNA from 1 species